UUAUUUGAGUAGUAUUAGUUAUGAUCUUGAAACUUAAAAAAUUUGGCGGUAUUUUAGUCUAUUCAGAGGAACUUGUAAAGUAAUCGAUAAUCCACGUUAAAUCUUUCUUAAAUUUGUUUAUCAGUUUAUAUAUCGUCGUUAUAAGAAUAUUUUUUAAAAAUUAAUAAAUUUUCUAAAAUUUAAAUUAAAUUUUAUAUCAGAUCAAGGUGUAGCUUAUGUUUAAGUUUUUAUGAGUUACAAUAAAUUUAUUUAUAUGGAUUUAAAAUUUAAAUAUUUUAUUAAAAGUGGAUUUGAUAGUAAAUUAAUAAAUAUAAAUUAUUUGAUUUUAGCUCUAAAAUAUG
rnacentral:rRNA from 1 species